rnacentral:rRNA from 1 species
AUACGGAGGGUCCGAGCGUUAUCCGGAAUCAUUGGGUUUAAAGGGUCCGUCGGCGGGAAUCUAAGUCAGUGGUGAAAUCUUGCAGCUCAACUGUAAAAUUGCCAUUGAUACUGGAUUUCUUGAAUUAGUGUGAAGUGGUUAGAAUGUGUAGUGUAGCGGUGAAAUGCAUAGAUAUUACACAGAAUACCAAUUGCGAAGGCAGAUCACUAACACUAUAUUGACGCUAAGGGACGAAAGCGUGGGGAGCGAACAGGAUUAGAUACCCCGGUAGUCC